ACUUCUCAACCCCGCCAAAGGCUUUAUUGACUUUGGUUGUUCUGGGCUUGGAUCAUGGUCUUUUGCUGUGUUACAACAGCUGGACUGAAAUACAACAAGUUGAAUGAAUCAAUUGCAGCUUGACCUGAUGUUGUAACCAUACUCAUUGGGGAUGCAAAUGAAUCAACGAACUUUAAUAGAAACCCAAUUUCGUACUUAGCUGUACAAAU
rnacentral:misc_RNA from 1 species